UACGUAGGGUGCGAGCGUUAAUCGGAAUUACUGGGCGUAAAGCGUGCGCAGGCGGCUUCGCAAGUCAGACGUGAAAUCCCCGGGCUUAACCUGGGAAUGGCGUUUGAAACUACGGAGCUGGAGUGUGGCAGAGGGAGGUAGAAUUCCACGUGUAGCGAUGAAAUGCGUAGAUAUGUGGAGGAAUACCGAUGGCGAAGGCAGCCUCCUGGGCCAACACUGACGCUCAUGCACGAAAGCGUGGGGAGCAAACAGG
rnacentral:rRNA from 1 species